rnacentral:rRNA from 1 species
GACGAACGCUGGCGGCGUGCUUAACACAUGCAAGUCACGGGGGCCCGCAAGGGCAACCGGCGAACGGGUGCGUAACACGUGAGCAAGCUUCCGAUUAGUGGGGGAUAGCCGGCCCAACGGCCGGGUAAUACCGCAUACGUUCACUGGACGGCAUCGUCUGGUGAGGAAACCUCCGGGGCUAAUCGAGGCGCUCGCGGCCUAUCAGCUAGUUGGCGGGGUAACGGCCCACCAAGGCUAUGACGGGUAGCUGGUCUGAGAGGAUGGCCAGCCACAUUGGGACUGCGACGCGGCCCAGACUCCUACGGGAGGCAGCAGUGGGGAAUAUUGCGCAAUGGACGAAAGUCUGACGCAGCGACGCCGCGUGUGGGAUGAAGCUCUUCGGGGUGUAAACCACUGUUGCCCGGGACGAACCUCCCCUUUCGAGGGGACUGACGGUACCGGGUGAGGAAGCACCGGCUAACUCUGUGCCAGCAGCAGCCGCGGUAA